CUCGAUCACUCACACCUCUGCUGAAGGGCCACUUCCUCACACAGGCGACCCCUGCGACUCAACGGCCCAGCGCUCCCAACUUCUCGGCCUGGGGUCUGAACUCAGGGGCGCUUAACCUAUGAGCCCCCUUUUCUAUUUUAGUAGAGCCAGGGUGUCGCAGUUGCUCAGGGCCUCGCUAAGGGGCUGAGGCUGGCCUCCAACUCACGAUCCUCCUGCCUCGGCCUCCUGAUCUGCUGGGAUGACAGGCGUGCGCCAGGCCCCCUCCAUUAAAUACUGUCAUUAGUAUUAAGGUGGCAUACGGCAUAGGGAUGAUCUCAAUUCUUCCCUUGCUAAGGGAGGUUUGUUAACUAAUAUGAGUAUUUUAAAGGCCCUUGAAAUAGAAUGACAACUUGCUUUCUCCAGAACAGCUUUUUUUCUAAUUUUUUUUUUUAGUUGUAGGUGGGCACAAUACCUUUAUUUCAUUUAUUUAUUUUUAUGAGGUGCUGAGGAUGGAACCCAGGAGCAUUCUACCACUAAGCUACAAUCCCAGCCACUUUUUAUUUUGAGGCGGUGUCUCAUUAAGUUUCCAAGGCUGGUCUCCAACCUGCGAUCCUCCUGCCUCAGCCUCUGGAGCAGCUGGGACUACAGGAAGACAGUGGGUGCCGUGCCCAACUUAGAAGUGUAGGCUUCGAAGGUACCAACUUGAACUUGAACCAGCUCCAAACACUGAGAAAUGCCUCUCUCCAGCGAUAUUGUGUGUGUGUGUGUGUGUGUGUGUGUGUUUUAAACUGGGAACUGAAACCAAGGGCACUUUACCACAGAGCUAUAUCCCCAGCCCUUUAUAUUUUUUGAGACAAACUACCCAGCCUGGCCUCCAACUAUUGAUCCUCCUGCCUCGGCCUCCCAAGUAGCUAGGAUUGUAGGCACUGCCACCACACCUGGCCCGCUAUAUUAUCCAAGACUGUGCUCUGUACCUGACCAUGAAACAAAUCCAAAUCACUCUGCCUUCCAAACCAGCAGACGUCAAGGCUCACAGCAAGAGAAGAGAAGAGGACCUCGGGAAAGGGUGUGAGAUGCAGCAGAAGGAAAUGAAGACCUGCAGAGGCUCACGCCUGUCAACCAGCAGCUCGGGAGGCUGAGGCAGGAGGAUCGCAAGUUAGAGGC
rnacentral:lncRNA from 1 species